UAACAUUAGUUCUUCCAUCAUUAUCAUCAUCAUUUAAGGCUGUGUUCAUGCAUGCAGAUGGAGUGGAUAAUUGGCAUCAUUGGUGCAAUAGGUAAUGGCAUGUCCUCAUCUUCACCUUCAUUCUUCAUUGAAAAGAUCAACAAGAAUGCAGUGGCUUUGCUCUACAUAGCUUGUGGAUGGUUUGUAGCUGCUUUCUUGGAGGGAUAUUGUUGGGCGAGAACCGGCCAAAGUCAAGCAUCAUGAAUGCGAAACCGAUAUUAAGACAAGAUAUAGCAUACCUUUGAUCUUAAAAUUCCAUCGACAACAGAGGUUGUCACUAUAUCUCUAGUGAUGGCCUUGUCAUCCAAGAUGUUAUUAGCGAAAAGAUACCGAACUUCUUGAUGAACUUCACAGUAUUUAUCGGAGGAUACACCGUAGGAUUUUUCAUGUUGUGGAGACUAGCUUGAUUAUUGCAUUACAAACUGUGUUACUCCUGAUCAUACCUGGAAUCAUGUAUGCUUUAUAGCAUCAAAGAUUAGAGAGGAGUACAACAAGGCUGGCCACAUUGCAGAGCAAGCUAUCUCUAGCAUUAGAACAGUGCACUCUUUUUUCAGGGAAAAGAAGACGGUCGCUGAGUUCUCUGCUGCACUUAAGGGUUUUCUUAAGCUUGGUCUCCGGCAGGGCCUGAUCAAAGGCAUUGCCAUCGGUAGUAACGGUAUCAUCUAUUCGAUUUGGGCCUUCUUGUUGUGGUACUCUAGCAAACUAGUUAUAAACCAUGAUGCGCGUGGUGGAGAACUAUCUUCGGUGUAGGAACUAUUACCAUCGCGGGAGGCAUAUAUAGCAUUCAGAACAUCGCUUUCGAACUUGAAACACCUAGCAGAGGCAAGUGCGGUGACCAGAAGGAUAUCGAAGGUAGUGAACAGAGUACCGAAGAUCGACUUGAAGAACAAUGAGGGUGAGAUACUACAAAGUAUAACUGGAGAAGUGGAAUUCAAAGGCAUUAAGUUUGCCUACCCAUCAAGGCCUGAAACCAUAGUCCUUAAUGAAUUCAAUCUAAAGGUCCUUGUAGGGAAGAUAUAUUGCCAUUGGUUGGAUCAAGUGGCUUAGGAAAAUCAAUAGUGAUUUCAUUGUUACUCUCUAAACAAAUCUCAGUCUGGUUAAUCUCAUUUCCUCAAAAAAUAGACCUAAACUGGCUAUAGCAGCACCAUGAUACCCUACAACAGGGUGAAGACUAUGAAACAUACUCCAAUCUGAGCAAACUCUUGAAUAUUCAUCAAAAAGCUCCCGACACCAUCAAUGGCGACAAAAGUGACUCCAUGAUUCCCAACCGCCGCACCAGCAGCAGUAGGUAUUCCAAAUCCCAUAGCUCCAAAUCCCGCCGAGGUCAACCACUUCAUCACCAAGCGUAACUACUUCGUUCUCUUAUAGGUUUAAUACUGUGCUGCCCA